GCGGUUGUAGUAUAGUUUGGUUAGUACUCCAGGUUGCCAACCUGGUGACCCGGGUUCAAAUCCCGGCGACCGCACCA
rnacentral:tRNA from 2 species